rnacentral:tRNA from 1 species
GCCCUCUUAACUCAGUGGUAGAAUAACACCAUGGUAAGGCGUAAGUCCUCGGUUCAAAUCGAUAAGAGGCUU